UCAGAUCAUCAGGCUGUAUGGUUAAUCUGAUGGAGGCAGUUCCUCGCUUGAGGCUCCUUCUUCCCAGAGUUCAGAUCAGAGUACCAAAUGCUUCAAAACUGAAUUUAUUGGAUGGUUCUACGGCACCAUGAGAGUUCUGAAUUUAGAUUCCUGCCCCCACUGCAAGAACAAGUGCUUUGAACCACUGAGUGAGCAUCUCUCCAACCCAAAAUGCAUGACUUUUUUAUCUAUUCAAAAUUUAUUGAGUUUUAUUUUCUACAAGUACAGAUGUUAUCUUGUUUUA